ACUAUAUAUAUAUAUAUAUAAUCAUUUAUUUAACCAUAUUCCCUACUGAUGGACAUUUAGAUUGUUUCACAUUCUUUACUGUUACACACAUCCAUUGAAGCAACUGUUUGAAGGAAGAGAAAUAAAAACUGGAAGAUCUUUCUAGAGAAAAAUAAAAUUUGAAAGCUAAAAUGGCUGUUUCUUGGUGGAGAAUCAGAUGGAUGCCUUUUGAGGCUGCUGAUGAAGGUGGUAACACACAAAGCACCACCUGCAGGGCAGUGUGUUCUUAAAAGCGUGCUCCCUCUUGCGGCCAACCUGGGUCAUACUGCAUUCAAGUUGGACAGUUUUGAAUCUGCUGCAAAUAUCCUGAAAGGUUUAACCGAUGCCCAACUAGCAGAGAAGUCAGAGCCCUGGGGAACCUUAGGAAUCAGAGAAUUUAGCCUCUUCAUUUCACAGGUGAGGAAAUGAUGUCCUGGAGGGAUACCUAGAGCCAUACAGCAAAGUUGUCACUGGGGUCAAGGCUGGACCUUGGUCUCUUAACUUGUGUUUGGUACUUUGCAUGAUUGAGAUGGAAUUACCUCAGAAUUAAAUGGCAAACACAUCCCAUGAUGUACUGCUGUAAUGGGUUUUUAAACUACUGUUUUCUUUACUCAUAAAUGAACUGUAUUUCAAGUUAGGGGAUUAUGGUUGAAUUAUCAAAAUAUUCACUACAGAUUUAACUUGCAGACUCUUCAUAUGUACAUUGAUUCUGAUCAAUUUACAAUCUCUUGCUCCAUAGUCAGGGGAUUGGCUACUUGGAUGCAUCUAUCUGGUGGCAUAUCAUGGCCUUGGAUUUUGCAAGUAUUUUUGAUGGCAUGAGUAAAUAAUUAAGACGUAUCAAGUGAAAGUCUGAAAUAUAUAUAUAUAUACAGUAUAAUAUUAACAUUGUGUUAAAAAAAAACAAGAAUAUUCAUGCCUAGAGAGUAAAUAAUAGUGGCUCU
rnacentral:lncRNA from 1 species